GACGAACCGUGCAAACGUUGUUCGGAAUCACUGGGCUUCAAGGGCGCGUAGGCGGCUCGCCAAGUCGGGGGUGAAAUCUUUCGGCUCAACCGGAAAAGUGCCUUCGAUACUGGCGGGCUGGAGGGAGGUAGGGGCAUGUGGAACUUCCGGUGGAGCGGUGAAAUGCGUUGAUAUCGGAAGGAACGCCGGUGGCGAAAGCGACGUGCUGGACCUCUUCUGACGCUGAGGCGCGAAAGCUAGGGGAGCGAACGGG
rnacentral:rRNA from 1 species